CCCCUUUGAAAAGCACUCACUGGGCCAAGCACUCAAUGACCCCCUGAGCCGUCAAGAAAGGGCAACGUAAAAACCCCGCUUUUGGGAGAGGUGGCAGAGGUGUUGUUUCGCUUCAAUCAGCGGUGUGACAAGG